CCCCUGCAGGGCCCUGGCUGGGAUAUCAUCAUAUACUGUAAGUUUGCAAUGAGAUACUACAGUAUAGAUGAUGUACUAGUCCGGGUACCCCAGCUCUGGAGCCUGACAAG
rnacentral:miRNA from 1 species